UCCAGCAUCCCCGCCCGCGGCGCUGCCAUAGCAACGCUUGCCGGGCCGGACUCGGCCCAGGGCGCGCUGAUGGAGAGGUGCGCGCGACCGCCGUCCCGGGAGCCCAAGCCAAGAGCCCCGCGUAAUGGGAGGACACUGGUCCUGGAGCACCAGGUGCUUCACCCGCGUGGCCUCCGAGUAUGCUACUCAAUGAUUCCUGCUAGAUGGGCACAAGCUUAUGGUGGAGUGAAGAUUUGAACCCCUGCCUGAAGCUUCAUACCCGCUUGAAGUGCCACAACACCACUUGGCCCAACCACUUUUUAUAACUUCCUGCACAUCCUCUGGCAGAUGACCUUGGACACAGCGUUCCUGAAACUUGGUUUCCUAGCCCAUAAAGUAGAGCAGUCUGCAGAAGCAGGGAAGAGCCCACCAGGAACUGCCAGACCCCCUGCCAACUGACUCUUUGACUUGUUUGCCUUCUCUGCCUUCCUGUCACCCAAGAUAUGGACACCGAUCCAUGGCCAGGCCUGAGUUGGAAUCUCACUUCCACCUCUCAUUCACCAUGUGA